AGUGAACGCUGGCGGUAGGCCUAACACAUGCAAGUCGAACGGCAGCACAGUAAGAGCUUGCUCUUACGGGUGGCGAGUGGCGGACGGGUGAGGAAUACAUCGGAAUCUACUUUUUCGUGGGGGAUAACGUAGGGAAACUUACGCUAAUACCGCAUACGACCUACGGGUGAAAGCAGGGGAUCUUCGGACCUUGCGCGAUUGAAUGAGCCGAUGUCGGAUUAGCUAGUUGGCGGGGUAAAGGCCCACCAAGGCGACGAUCUGUAGCUGGUCUGAGAGGAUGAUCAGCCACACUGGAACUGAGACACGGUCCAGACUCCUACGGGAGGCAGCAGUGGGGAAUAUUGGACAAUGGGCGCAAGCCUGAUCCAGCCAUACCGCGUGGGUGAAGAAGGCCUUCGGGUUGUAAAGCCCUUUUGUUGGGAAAGAAAAGCAGCAGGUUAAUACCCCGCUGUUCUGACGGUACCCAAGGAAUAAGCACCGGCUAACUUCGUG
rnacentral:rRNA from 1 species